UACAUAGGGGGCGAGCGUUAUCCGGAAUUAUUGGGCGUAAAGGGUACGUAGGCGGGUCUGCAAGUCUGAUUUGAAAGCACACGGCUUAACCGUGUGAGGUAAUUAGAAACUACGGGUCUAGAGAGUGGUAGAGGUAAAUGGAAUUCCAAGUGGAGCGGUGAAAUGCGUAGAGAUUUGGAGGAACACCAGUGGCGAAGGCGGUUUACUGGGCCACAUCUGACGCUAAUGUACGAAAGCGUGGGGAGCAAACAGGAUUAGAUACCCUGGUAGUCCACGCCGUAAACGAUGAGUGCUAAGUAUCGGUAGAAUCGGUGCUCAAGCUAACGCAGUAAGCACUCCGCCUGGGGAGUACGGUCGCAAGACUGAA
rnacentral:rRNA from 1 species